rnacentral:rRNA from 1 species
UCGGGAAUUUUGGGCAAUGGGCGAAAGCCUGACCCAGCAACGCCGCGUGAGGGAUGAAGUAUUUCGGUAUGUAAACCUCGAAAGACUGGGAAGAAUAAAUGACGGUACCAUUUAUAAGCUCCGGCUAACUACGUGCCAGCAGCCGCGGUAAUACGUAGGGAGCAAGCGUUGUUCGGAUUUACUGGGCGUAAAGGGCGCGGAGGCGGAGCGGUAAGUCACUUGUGAAAUCUCUGAGCUUAACUCAGAACGGCCAAGUGAUACUGCUGUGCUAGAGUGCGGAGGAGGCAACCGGAAUUCUUGGUGUAGCGGUGAAAUGCGUAGAUAUCAAGAGGAGCGCCUGAGGCGAAGGCGGGUUGCUGGGCGGACACUGACGCUGAUGCGCGAAAGCCAGGGGAGCAAACG